CCUGCUGAAUUAUUCACCCGUGUCUUUUGCGUACUUCUUGUUUCCUGGGCGGGCUCGCCCGCCACCAGGACCCCCCAUAAACCUUUUGCAAUGGCAAUCAGCGUCAGUAAAACAUAAUCAUUACAACUUUCAACAACGGAUCUCUUGGUUCUGGCAUCGAUGAAGAACGCAGCGAAAUGCGAUAAGUAGUGUGAAUUGCAGAAUUCAGUGAAUCAUCGAAUCUUUGAACGCACAUUGCGCCCUUUGGUAUUCCAAAGGGCAUGCCUGUUCGAGCGUCAUUUGUACCCUCAAGCUUUGCUUGGUGUUGGGCGUCUUUGUCUCCGGCUUGCCUGGAGACUCGCCUUAAAGUGAUUGGCAGCCGGCCUACUGGUUUCGGAGCGCAGCACAAGUCGCGCUCUCUUCCAGCCAAGGUCAGCGUCCACCAAGCCACCUUUUUUACCUUUGACCUCGGAUCAGGUAGGGAUACCCGCUGAACUUAA
rnacentral:rRNA from 1 species